UGGGGAAUUUUGCGCAAUGGGCGAAAGCCUGACGCAGCAACGCCGCGUGAGUGAUGAAGGUUUUCGGAUCGUAAAGCUCUGUCGCGUGGGAAGAAAUGUAUCAUGGCUAAUAUCCAUGGUAUUUGACGGUACCGCUAAAGGAAGCACCGGCUAACUCCGUGCCAGCAGCCGCGGUAAUACGGGGGGUGCAAGCGUUGUUCGGAAUUAUUGGGCGUAAUGAGCGUGUAGGCGGCUGAAUAAGUCAGAUGUGAAAUCCCUGGGCUUAACUCAGGAAGUGCAUUUGAAACUAUUCAGCUUGAGUAGGGGAGAGGAAAGUGGAAUUCCUGGUGUAGAGGUGAAAUUCGUAGAUAUCAGGAGGAACACCGGUGGCGAAGGCGGCUAUCUGGACAGUAACUGACGCUGAGGCGCGAAAGCGUGGGGAGCAAACA
rnacentral:rRNA from 1 species